GAUCAUGGCUCAGGAUGAACGCUAGCUACAGGCUUAACACAUGCAAGUCGAGGGGAAACGACAUCGAAAGCUUGCUUUUGAUGGGCGUCGACCGGUGCACGGGUGAGUAACGCGUAUCCAACCUGCCUACCACUUGGGGAUAACCUUGCGAAAGUAAGACUAAUACCCAAUGACAUCCCACGAAUACAUCUGAAUGGGAUUAAAGAUUUAUCGGUGAUGGAUGGGGAUGCGU
rnacentral:rRNA from 1 species